rnacentral:rRNA from 1 species
AUGGCACGGACGGCUCCGGUCGCCGACACCAUCGCCGUCCUCGGCGACGACCUCCUGCGGGAGGUCUUCCUCCAUCUCCCCACCCCCGCCGACCUCCUCCGCGCCGCCCUCGCCUGCAAGCCCUUCCUCCACGCCGCCCGCAGCGCCCGCUUCCUCCGCCGCUUCCGCCGCCGCCACCCCUUCGCCUGCCCGCUCCUCCUCGGCUGCUUCGUCCACCGCUGCCGCGAAGACCCCAGCCCUCUCCUUCUCCCCGCCCCCCUUCCCGCCGCCGCGCGCCGCGUCGUCGAGGGCGGCGACUUCGCGCUCUCCUUCCUGCCCGACCUCGGCUCGUCGGGCCCCGACCCGUGGAAGGUCUUGGACAGUCGCAGCGGCUGGCCCCUGCUGUGGGACCGGGCGUCCGCGGAGCAGCCCGUCGCCGAUCCGUGGAAGGUCUUGGACUGCCGCAACGGCCGCCUACUGCUGCGCAAUCGGGUGUCCCGAGAGCUGGCCGUCGCCGAUCCCCUGACCAGGCGCUGGGUCUCUCUCCCCGCGCCCCUGGCCGAGCGCCCCGUGGGGUACGGCCUCGUCACCGACGACGGUUGCUCGUCGGCGUUCCAGGCGUUCUGCGUUUCAGAAGACGGCGGCGGCUCCUCCGGGCUCCGCGCCCAGGUGCUCUCCUCCAGCGAGCUCCGCUGGGCCGACGCUGCUGUCCUCGCGGGCCAGCAUACUCUCGCGGACUCUCGGGUGAUGCAAGCGAACGGGUCGCUCUACUGGAAGCUCAAGGGCGGGGAGCGCAUGGUCGCACUCAACACGGCGACGAUGGCGUUCUCCUUGCUGGAGCUCCCUGAUUUCGCGCGGCAGUUCAGCUUCGACGUCAUUGAGAAGGGGGACGACGAUGCUGGCGGGCUCUACCUACUCACUAUGCUCGGAUUCUGCGUCGAGGUUUGGGGCGGCUGGGAUGAUGGCAGCGGUGUGCUAACAUGGACACUGGUGGAGAAGUCGGUCAGGUUCCAGAGGGCCAUGGCGGAGAUGAUUCGUUCAUCACAGUUUUUCCGGCAUGGACUAGUUGUCAUUGGGGUGGUUGCCGGUGUGGUCUUCUUGCGCAAUAAGGAUCGCCUGCUCUCCAUUGAUCUGGAAACAAUGAAGCUCAGGCUGUUGGCUCGGAAAGACAAGUGCCCAUCGACCCUGAUGUAUCCUUACACGAUGGCAUGGCCACCUUCAUGCCUGAACCCUACUGAACAAGGAAUGUGA